rnacentral:guide_RNA from 1 species
AUAAACACAACAGUAGACUUGUAUUAGAUAGAAGAUAGAUAUCA